rnacentral:rRNA from 1 species
GAGUUUGAUCCUGGCUCAGAUUGAACGCUGGCGGCAUGCCUUACACAUGCAAGUCGAACGGCAGCACGGGAGCUUGCUCCUGGUGGGCGAGUGGCGAACGGGUGAGUAAUGCAUCGGAACGUAUCCUGGAGUGGGGGAUAACGUAGCGAAAGUUACGCUAAUACCGCAUAUUCUGUGAGCAGGAAAGCGGGGGACCUUCGGGCCUCGCGCUCUUGGAGCGGCCGAUGUCGGAUUAGCUAGUUGGUGAGGUAAAGGCUCACCAAGGCGACGAUCCGUAGCAGGUCUGAGAGGAUGAUCUGCCACACUGGAACUGAGACACGGUCCAGACUCCUACGGGAGGCAGCAGUGGGGAAUUUUGGACAAUGGGGGCAACCCUGAUCCAGCCAUGCCGCGUGAGU